rnacentral:miRNA from 2 species
UGCAGAGCUUGUGCGAUUGGCGCU